rnacentral:rRNA from 1 species
GUGUCAGCAGCCGCGGUAAAACGUAGGUGACGAGCGUUAUCCGGAUUUACUGGGCGUAAAGAGGGCGCAGGCGGCUUUGUAAGUCGGAUGUAAAAUCUCCCGGCUCAACCGGGAGGGAUCAUUCGAAACUGCCGAGCUAGAGGGCAACAGGGGGAAGCGGAAUUCCCGGUGUAGUGGUGAAAUGCGUAGAUAUCGGGAGGAACACCAGUGGCGAAAGCGGCUUCCUGGGUUGUUACUGACGCUUAAGCCCGAAAGCAUGGGGAGCAAACAGGAUUAGAUACCCUGGUAGUCCAUGCUGUAAACGAUGGGCACUGGGUAUAGGGAGUAUCGACCCUCUCUGUGCCGAAGUUAACGCGUUAAGUGCCCCGCCUGGGGACUACGGCCGCAAGGCUAAAACUCAAAGGAAUUGACGGGG